rnacentral:rRNA from 1 species
UACGUAGGGUGCAAGCGUUAAUCGGAAUUACUGGGCGUAAAGCGUGCACAGACGGUCAUGUAAGUCGGGUGUGAAAGCCCCGGCUCAACCUGGAAUUGCAUUCGAGACUGCAUGGCUAGGUGCGGAGAGGAGCGAUUCGUGUAGCGUGAAUGCGUAGAUAUCGGAGACACUGUGCGAAGCGCGCACUGACCACACUGACGCUGAGCGACGAAGCUAGGAGCAAC